rfam:Bacterium TMED264 isolate TMED264 88374, whole genome shotgun sequence.
GGGGCUGUAGCUCAGUUGGGAGAGCGCUUGAAUGGCAUUCAAGAGGUCAGCGGUUCGAUCCCGCUCAGCUCCA